CCGCUAUAGGCAGACCUGCAGCGUCUGCGGCUGAUACUUCAGGUGGAAUGUGGACCGUCAGGUUUACUGGUGCAACAGCGUACUCCGCGAGUCCACCUGCUUUCUGACAGUAUAUGCAGCUUAAAGGUUAACUCGAAUAGCUCAUUGGACAUGAACACAGAGAGAGAGAGAGAGAGAGAGAGGCGAGCAAUCCAAAGUCCACCACAGAACUCUUAUAUGAUCAUAUGCAUCAAGCAGUACAAAACUUGAAGUAAUAUGAACAGAGAAAGAUGGCAAGAUAAGAAAACUAGAGAAGCUCCAGAGAGAGGCAAAGCAGUCGAAGGUCUACCUGAGAAUUAUGGCAGUUAAUUUCCAAGCAUAUGAACAUAAUCCAAGCCAGAAAAGAAAAGAAGAAGAAGCAGAAGGAGGCUUAGAGCUCUUACAAAUCCAAGCCAUGUGACCACCUUGUCUCCUGGCUUGAAGCCAUCGACGCCAGGUCCAACCUCAACAACUUCUCCUGCAACAUCCGAUACUGUCGACCAAACAUUUUACAGGACUCAGUUUCUGAUCCUCUACAUCUAAAACAAGUAGCAAUUCAAGAGAAUAAGAUCUGCACAGGGAGAGAUGAAGCCUCGAGUGCAAUCCAAUGCAGAUGUUGAUGGAAGUGGGAUGUGCACCUGGAACAAAUGGAAACUUGGAUGGCAGAAAAGGCCGGAACGCUCCCUUCUGGACUUUCCAGUCAGCUGGGUUCAUGCUUGCUGCUUCCACUCUCAGGAGCACCUCAUCCUUCUUGGGUGAAGGAACCUGGAUCUCAACAUGCUGAAGCCAAAAAUGCAGCACUUCAAUCAAUCACGUCGCUUUCAUGAAGCUUACAAACGAUGGAUGGUAACAGAGACAUGCCGGAUUUGUGGUGCAAACCAUCAAAUCUUCUUUAGACAAAGUCAAACCCUACCUUAAAUCUUCUUCACACUCUACUGACAUGAUUACUCUACCUUUGACCAUGAGGUGAAGCAAACAAACGGACUAGUAUCAGAGGAAAAGCUUCAGGUGCAGUGUUGCGACCGAGAUUCUAUGACAUGUUCUUGAAAGGCUCAGUUCAGCUUCCUCCGAAGAGCACGGAAGCGAACAAACCUCUAGUAUCAGAGGAAAAGUUUCAGGUGCAGUAUUGCCACCGAGAUUCUAUGACAUGUACAUAUAGGCUCAGUUCAGCUUCCUCAGAAGAGCAUGGAUCUAUUUGUUGAAGCCAAAGGAAACGUGAUCGAGAGAAAAGGGAGAAGAGGAGAGAGCACGAGAGGGCAUCGGGAAGAAGGUGGUACCUGGAGAGCGGCGGCGCCACCGCCGUAGCCGCCGUAUUGCACGGCGCGCAUGGUUCUUGCGGCCAUGGCAGGAGGAAAGACGGGCGGAGAUUGAUGGGGCGUUCGCUGGCGGUGGGCGGAGAUAUUUCUAGCGGCGGAGCGCUCUACGAAAUGACGGAACUGCCCUCCCGCACCACGUAAGUUCGCACGUCAGCCUGACCAAAGAGCACGACCGGCGAGGGCGAGGAUUUGGCAUGGUCUGCCCACGUGGCAGAUUGGCCCGCCAUCCUGUGCGUACGCGCCCGCCUCGACCACCGUAACCUGUCACGAAGUCCGUCGCCACGUGGGACCCACCCUCGCCGCGGUAAGGCAAACGUAUCAUUAGACGGAUGGUUUAGACAUCAUAGCCCUCACUUGAUCUCCUAACAUAAACCAUACCGCCUCGAUUAAGGAGACUUAAUGCACGUCUAAGUUCAUCAAGGAGUGUGACAAGUCAACAUCAUAUGGUCAAUGAAAUAUGAGCUACUCAGACGUAUGUUGUGGUGCCGUAAUCCUUCAGCUGCCUCCUCUCUUAACAAAGCAAGAGUAGGUGAAAUGAUGACAUUUGUGUGCUCAUCUUGAAGAUGAAGCAAUCAAUCAAUUGGGGGUUGACCAGUCAAAAUUGAUUCCUCAUUAUUUAUAAAAAAAUAAUGAUAAUAAUAAUAAUAAUAAUAAAAUAAAUAAAUAAAUAAAUAAAUAAAAUCAAGAUAGUGAGUGAUGAAAUUAUGUUUUCCUUUAAGCAAACUUCUUAUCAUUUCAAUCACAGUUUGAUUUUUAUGUUCAGCUACACCAUUUUGCUCCGGUGUGUAUAAUAUUAUCAAUUCUCUACGAAAUUUUCUUUAUAAAAAGAAUUAAACUCAUUAGAUAAAAAUUCACCAUCUCUAUCUGUCUGAAGUGUUUUUAUGUGUCUACCACUUUACCUUUCUAUAAGUACCUUGAAUUUUUAAAAAUUAUUAAAUAUUUUAUAUUUUAAUUUCAGAAAAUAUAUCUAACUCAUGCGACUAUAAUCAUUAGUAAACAAUAGAAAAUAUUGAGUUCCACCAAAUAAUUUUGUAUUCAUAGGUCCAUAUAAGUCAGCAUAAAUUAAUUCAAGAUAAUUAAAUGCUCUCCAUGCUUUUCUAACAGAAAAUAAUUUUUUUACUUUGUUUGUCAUAAAUACAACAUUCACAUACAUCAAGUACAUUAAUCUUGGGCAAUUCGAAAAUCAUUCCUUUUUUAUUUAACAACCUUAAACCCUUAAUGUUAAGGUAUUCAUAUCUUAAAUGUUAUAAAUUAGACUUAUUUUUUUGAGUUGCAACAAGAGCAUGCUUUUCAAUAUUUGAAACAUCAAGCGAAAAUAUUUUGUUUUACGUCAUGCAAAUAUUUACUAUAAUCAAACCAGAUUUUUUAACUUUAAUAGUGCAUAAACCAUCAUCAAAUAUAACUGAAUAUCUAUUAUCUAUCAAUUGUCCAACACUCAACAAGUUAUUUGAUAAAGUAGGAACAAAAAAAAUAUUAUCAAUGUAUUUUACCUUUCCUUGAUUUGUCUUCACCUCAAUUGUUCANNNNNNNNNNNNNNNNNNNNUCUUCACCUCAAUUGUUCAUUUUCCUUCCGGUUUGAUUUGCUUAUUAUCUCUAAGUCUAACUUUCAACUUGUAAGUUUCAUCAAUAUAUCUAAAUAUUAAUUUUAAGCCUGACAUAUUAUUAGAAUAUCCACUGUCAAAAACCAAAUAUCAUUUGAUACAUCAUAAACUUAUGAUCGACUUAUAAACAACUUACUAUUUUCUUCAUUUUCCUCAACAUAACUUGCUUGCUUUUCUCUUUUCCAACAAAGUAUCUUCGUGUGACCAAAUUUUUUACAAUAGUGACAUUGAAUUCCACUCUUUUAAUUUUUUUUUAUCAUAAUUUGAUUACCUUUAUUCAUCAUGUCUAUCAAAAUGUCUUCUUCCUCUUCCUUUUUCAUUUCCUUUACCACGAAAUCCUCCUCUACCACAUCCUCUUCCUGCUGAUUUUUUAUUUUUUUAAAGUAGAAGACUCCCCCUUAACUUGAAAUGCUUUCUCUUCAUUUUUUUCAAGUGACCUGUUUAACAUUGCUUCAUGUGCUUGCAAGGAACCCAUUAGUUCAUCAAAUGAAAAUGUAGAUAAAUCUUUUGACUCCUCAAUUGCGGCAACAACAUGAUCAAAUUUUAGAGUUAAACUUCUCAAAACUUUUGCAACAAUUAUAUAAUCAGGAAGAUGUUCACCGUAAGAUUUCAUUUGACUAACAAUUUCAGUCACUCGAGAAAGAAAAUCUUGCACUGAUUCAUUGCUUUUCAUGAACAAAAUUUCAAACUCACGACGAAGGGUUUAAAGUUUUAUCGUAAUCACCUUUGACGAACCUUGAAAUUUAUUUUGAAGGAUCAACCAAGCUUGUUUUGAGGUUGUCGUUGUUGCAAUUCUCGAGAAGAUUGUCUCAUGUACAGCUUGUUGAAUGAAGAACAAUGCCUUUGAGCCUUUCUUUCUAUUCUCUCUCAGACUGAUUUCGUCAUAUGGAUCUGCAUAUUCAUUCUUUAUUAAGUCCCAAAGAUCUUGAGACUUGAAUAGAGUCUUCAUCUUGAUAUUCCAAAAUUCAUAGCAUUUACCCGAGAAGAUGAGAAUAAGGGGUUAAGACUUGAAAUUAUCAUUAAAAGUCAUAAUGUCCAGUUUAAAUUGAAACUUGGCUCUGAUACCAUUGGGGAUGGAGGAUCAAGGAAAUAAAAAAAAUAAAAUACUAUGAUAUAAGUAAAAGAAUCCUUUCGAUCAAGAAAAUCGAUGUAGUAUUUAAAAUAAGAUGAUUGACAUAGAACACUUACAAGAUAUUCCCAAAUAUAUUCUCCUUUCUAUCUUACUUCAUGAACUAUGACCCUAUUUAUAGGACAUAGUGAUAACUACCUCACUCCACUAUGUCACCCAUGAGUGAGGUAGUUAUAAGAAUCACCCUAUAACUUCUAGAUUAUGGGUCAUUUCUUGAAACAUGUCUAAAACUACUAAAAAUAUUGUAACUACCUAGAUAACUACUAUAAAUCAAUUCUUAACAAUAUUUACAAUGAUUUCACUUGGAUUCACACAAAUCUCGAUACAAUUGGGAUCAAACGCUUCAUAUUUAUAUGUCCAUAACUUGGUCGCGCUCGACGAUGAUCUUACCAGUGGCAUGACCCUCCAUGAUCUUUGCCCAAGCCUCCUCCGCCUUGCCCAGUGCGUAUCUCGAGUCGAUCACCGUCCUAAGCUUCCCUCCCUUCACCAGCUCAACCAGGAACUGCAAGUCCUCCUUCGUCGCCAUCGCGAACAGCAGCACCAGCUUCUUAUUCGAGCAGGUCAAUUGCUUCAGAGCAGAACGAAGGAACCCCCCCGGCGAAGGAUUGAGAUCGACGACCUUCCCGUGAGCUGCGAGGUUGGACUCCAAGCUGGACCAGCCAACGCUGGAGGUGCAGUGCACGACGAUGUCGUACUUCCUGCCCGAAGGGCUCUUCAAGCUCUUGCCUUCCGGGGUCUUGUAGUCAAGCACCUCAUCUGCGCCCAGGCUCCUCACCAGCUCCAUGUUCCGGGCGCCGCAGGUGGCGGUGACAUGGAGGUUUCCGAGCUUGGCGAGCUGGACGGCGAACGUCCCGACACCGCCAGAGGCGGCAGUGAUGAGGACGUUUGCUGGAUCGCCGGUGCCGUCGAACUUGGUUGUGGCGUACCUUAGCGCCUGUAGAGCACUACAGGCCGCUAUAGGCAGACCCGCAGCGCCUUCGGCUGAUACUUCAGGUGGAAUGUGUGCCGUAACGUUUACUGGUGCAAUAGCGUACUCCGCGAGUCCACCUGCUUUCUGACAGUAUACGCAGCUUAAAGGUUAACUCGAAUAGCUCAUUGGACAUGAACACAGGAGAGAGAGAGAGAGAUGCAAGCAAUCCAAAGUCCACCACAGAAAUAGAAGAAGAAAAACUCUUAUAUGAUCAUAUGCAUCAAGCAGUACAAAACUUUAGUGAUAUGAACAGAGAAAGAUGGCAAAAUCAGAGAACGAGAGAAGCUCAUUUGACAUGAACAGAGAGAGGCAAAGCAGUCCAAGGUCUACCUGAGAAUUAUGCCAGUUAAUUUCCAAACAUAUGAACAUAAUCCAAGCCAGAAAAGAAGAAGAAGGCUUAGAGCUCUUACAAAUCCAAGCCACGUGACCACCUUGUCUCCUGGCUUGAAGCCAUCCACGCCAGGUCCAACCUCAACAACUUCUCCUGCAACAUCCGAUACUGUCGACCAAACAUUUUACAGGACUCAGUUUCUGAUCCUCUACAUCUAAAACAAGUAGCAAUUCAAGAGAAUAACAUCUGCACGGGGAGAGAUGAAGCCUCGAGUGCAAUCCAGUGCAGAUGUUGAUGGAAGUGGGAUGUGCACCUGG
rnacentral:lncRNA from 1 species